CUUUCCCUUUGAGGUCAUACUUCCAACCGUGCCAUCAAACAUACCUAUGAACAAACAAAUGAUUGGAUACUUCUUUGUAUUUUAUCAUUGUUGCACUGUCUUACUAACACAUUAUUACAAAAGGAGUAACGUGCCAAUAGGGAUCGAACCACAUCUUGCUCAUGACACGGGUUCGGAACGCCGAGACAUGCUGGGAAGUUAACAGGCUUGGCAGCUUCACGUCACGAUCCUGAGUGCAGUAAUAUUUCGGACGUCGCUGGAGACUGAGGUGUAAUAAUGGAGACUGACGUGAGAGCGGGUCGUGGUGGUGUUCUAGAUAUGGCUGAGUGGACAGAACAGCAGUUGCCACUUUCCAACAAAGGAAUGUCAAAAAUGGCUCAUUGUGGCUUUUAUCCAUCCAAAAACUUUGCAUUCCCACCAGGCCUCUAUGCUUGUUGGCUAUAGUGAAAUACAUAGAGGAUGGGAGUAUUGACUGAAACUGCAAAUUUACCGGCAAAUGAUUGUGAAAUAAUUGGCAUUUACAUUGUCAACAACCCUCUCAUACUCAUAUCAGCUUGAAGACCUUGAUAGUUCAAAGUUAUGUCAACGCUGAAAAUGACGAUACUAAACACAACUAAAGCAAACUUAUGAUUACACGGACUUUUAUGAAUAUAACGUUGACUAUAGUAGUAUUGUUACAGGUGCGCGAAGACUUGAGAGGAACAAAUCCUGAGUGGAAGGGCGAGAGAGGGCAACCAAUAAAGUUAAAAGACUCAAGGAAGUAUUAACGACCCCAAUGGAUUGAACCGCACCAUUUGCACGCGUUGAAUAAAAUACCCAGACCCGAGCAAAGCGCGAAGCCCGGAAAGAUUGUUUACAUUUUGCGCUCCUUACCAAUAAAGUAUGGAGUCAUCUGGUGACGAAGCGGAAGGUAUUCGGAUCAUUAGGGCUCCGAGUCAGGUGAUCAUCAAGACAGAAAGGCCCGAGUCCACAAAGGCCUGGGGACGAUUGGGCCAUUGGUCACUUUGUACCCAAACAACUUAGUUCCCAAAAUGUUUCAACACUGAGGGGUCUUGAAGUGCGAAGAAAAUUGAUAAACGAUUGGAGAAGGUAGGGAAUAGUGUUAUAAGAAUAGUCGAGUAAGGAUGAUACGAUAGCAUAGAUUGGAGUGAAGGCAUUGCAUUGUCAUUCAGGUCAUUGCAUUGCAGGUCAUGCACUGGAAAACAGAAGAUUCAGAGAACAGAUGGUGGUUAAUGUUGGCAUAGUAAUGAAAGAAAAGAAAAGUGAAGCCUAAGUGAGAUAAAGCUAAGCAGUGACUAGGAGAGCAAACCUGGAAUGACGUAGGAUAGGAUUAAAGGAAGUCAGGAAGAGAAUAGAAGAAAAUGGUAGAACCAGGUGUAAAAUGCGAAUGGGAUACUAGUGAAUUUUGAAGUGCUACAGAGGGAAGAUAGGCGCAAGACACUGUAAUAGUGCACAAAGGGACUGGGGAAGCAGGUUUUAAGUGAUGGCAUGCUUUGGCACACUGCAGAGAAAGGCCGGGGGCAAAGGUGAGCAGGACCUAAGUUGCGGCUUCUGUACUCCGGGUCAGGGAGACAAGAAGGCAUUUCAUGGUUGAGUGUAGGGAGUAUGAGCAGCGUGGAAGCAAAUUUAUAGAAUCCAUAGGCCAAAUAAUGCGAGUAGAGGAAUGGCACAAAAGGGUUAAGGAAAGAUGGGGCAUUUGCAGAACGUUAGGACUAUGUACGCGGAAGGAAAGGUAUAGAACAAAGUCUACAUGUACAAAGUAAGGUCACAAGAGUUGUCAGCAGUGCUAGUCAAUUUUGAACUCAACCUUGCCUGAGGAACCAAAUCCAACCCCUUCCACUCACAUAUCAAGAGCAGGAGUGACAGCAAGGUGGUGGUGAUACCACUGCAGAGUGAGAAUAGUCAGCUUACAGAUCUGGACCAAGAAGCAUGUGAACUCUUGAUGGAAUAAUUUGAAAAGGUAUUCAUUAAAGAAGGCAGACAACUAUUACCUACUACAGAUGUCUUUAGGGUAUUCAUUAGAGGACUUAAAUGCUUCCAAAGCUAUGUAGUAUAUUUUGUGUGACUUCAAAUUUUUGUAGUGAGGAUGAGAUUGCUCCAUAAACCUCACAUCCAUAGUCUAACCAACUCCAGAUAUGAGAAUUAAAGUGAAGGAGGGUAUGCUUGUCUGUAUCCCACUUGAUGGGAAAUUUGAACACAUACCUAACCCCAGACAUACCUACUGCUAUAAAUGCUACAAAUGCUGUAGCCUUCACUUAUUCAGGACACCUUUUUUCACCAUCCCUCCCUCCUUGGCCUGCUUGCAGAAUCAUGUUUCUUCCUAGGAAACAUUAUAAUUUUUGCAAUGGAUCAAUGUCUUCAUAAUGUGAUCACUCAGAACUGACCCAUAUUCAUUUUUAACAACUGCCCCCCACAUUACACUUUUACACCUCAUCCACUCUUGUCAUAGUGCUUCAUGAUCUUAGAUAUCUGGCAAGUUUUAUUCCAUUAAGUAAUGUCAGGCUUACUUGAUGGUAGUUUUAAAAUGUUUUUCCUUGAAAUGUUCUUUGGUUAUGCAUGUCAUUAACACACUUUCAUUGACAUGAAUGCAUUUUGCAAUGAAUGUCAAUUUCUUGUUGGUUUGUUGUAUAGUUGCCUUACCACUAUUUCUGAUAUGGAAGUCUUUGUUUCCUGUUGAAGUGAGGCUUUACCAAGGAGUGUAAAGGAUGAAGGAAGACUGCUCAGUAAUUCUCAGAUGUUGUAAUAGUGGCAUCAUCUAUUGAGCAAAACCAUUUUUCACAAACUAGGAAGCUUUCAGGACUACUGGUGUAUUGUUCUAGUUGUGAAGAUGUUCAUUUAAUUUUUUUUUUUACAUCAGCAUAUAAAUGGGAGAGUAAUUUCAAAGCUUUUGCAUAUUUUAUUAGUGGUAGACUACAGACAGAAUUAAAUCACAAUUUUUCAAUCACUGCUGCUAAUAAAAUAGAACAGCUAACGGCUGCAUUUCUGAAAAUAGUUUCCAACAAGCAAAAAACAUUUGCACUUGAUGCAGUGUUGCAUCUUUUGCCAUCAUGCCAAACGCCAGAAUACAUCACAAGAAUAGUUAUAAAGCAAUACAUACAGCUAGUACAUGUUAGCAGUAAUAAAGCAAUAACAGAACUUAAACAGCACAACACAGCAGCAGUGACAAAGUAAUACAUGCACCUAUUAAUUUAAUAACACAACACCAUUGCUGUGAGAAAGGAAUACAUGCACUUACACAGUACAGCAGCAGUGCCAAAGUAGUACAUGCAUUUUGCACACACUGACAUAUAGCUUUUAGUCAGAAGUAGAGGUGGCAGCAGCUGUUAAAAUUACAUACACAAUUUGAGGGGUUAGGCAAAUAGAACAAGCACAGGAACAGAACAUAAAACAGCCGUUACAUAUACAAGACCAUUACUUACUUU